AAGAAAUGUCUUUGGUAAGUUUCAUUGUAAACAUUGUCAACAACGUCAAAUAGGCUUUUCUUUGUAUGCCUUCCUGAGACCUAUCAAAGUACAUCACAAAAGAGAAAGAGGUAGUAUUCUCUUUCCAUAUUCAAUAUUAAAUUAAUAGAAACUCCCAGGUACCACUCGACGUGGUCCAGGUAUAUCAGCUCCACUCGGGCAAGGAAGUACGGAUCAGAUAUAGCUACAGCUGGCCUAGCUGCGUAAGGCCUAUCUCCAAG
rnacentral:lncRNA from 1 species